rnacentral:rRNA from 1 species
GGAGUUAGCCGGUGCUUCUUCUGUGAGUGAUGUCCUUCCUGCCGGUUAUUGACCCGCAGGCCUUCUUCCUCACUGAAAGUGCUUUACAACCCGAAGGCCUUCUUCACACACGCGGCAUGGCUGGAUCAGGGUUGCCCCCCAUUGUCCAAUAUUCCCCACUGCUGCCUCCCGUAGGAGUCUGGGCCGUGUCUCAGUCCCAGUGUGGCUGAUCAUCCUCUCAGACCAGCUACGGAUCGUCGCCUUGGUGAGCCGUUACCUCACCAACCAGCUAAUCCGACAUAGGCUCAUCCGAUAGCGCGAGGCCCGAAGGUCCCCCGCUUUCCCCCGUAGGGCGUAUGCGGUAUUAGCCUGGGUUUCCCCAGGUUAUCCCCCACUACCGGGCAGAUUCCUAUGCAUUACUCACCCGUCCGCCGCUCGCCACCAGGGAGCAAGCUCCCCGUGCUGCCGCUCGACUUGCAUGUGUUAGGCCUGCCGCCAGCGUUCAAUCUGAGCCAGGAUCAAACUCUGA